GAUGAACGCUAGCUACAGGCUUAACACAUGCAAGUCGAGGGGCAGCAUGAACUUAGCUUGCUAAGUUUGAUGGCGACCGGCGCACGGGUGAGUAACACGUAUCCAACCUGCCGAUGACUCGGGGAUAGCCUUUCGAAAGAAAGAUUAAUACCCGAUGGCAUAGUUCUUCCGCAUGGUGGAACUAUUAAAGAAUUUCGGUCAUCGAUGGGGAUGCGUUCCAUUAGGUUGUUGGCGGGGUAACGGCCCACCAAGCCUUCGAUGGAUAGGGGUUCUGAGAGGAAGGUCCCCCACAUUGGAACUGAGACACGGUCCAAACUCCUACGGGAGGCAGCAGUGAGGAAUAUUGGUCAAUGGACGAGAGUCUGAACCAGCCAAGUAGCGUGAAGGAUGACUGCCCUAUGGGUUGUAAACUUCUUUUAUACGGGAAUAAAG
rnacentral:rRNA from 1 species